rnacentral:rRNA from 1 species
CUGCGGGAGGCAGCAGUAGGGAAUCUUGCGCAAUGGGCGAAAGCCUGACGCAGCGACGCCGCGUGGGUGAUGAAGGCCUUCGGGUUGUAAAGCUCUGUGGGGAGAGACGAAUAAGCACUGGCUAAUAUCCAAUGUGAUGACGGUAUCUCCUUAGCAAGCACCGGCUAACUCUGUGCCAGCAGCCGCGGUAAGACAGAGGGUGCAAACGUUGUUCGGAAUUACUGGGCGUAAAGCGUGUGUAGGCGGCCAACUAAGUCGGAUGUGAAAGCCCGGGGCUCAACCCCGGAAGUGCACUCGAUACUGGUUGGCUUGAGUACUGGAGAGGUUGGUGGAAUUCUCGGUGUAGAGGGGAAAUUCGUAGAUAUCGAGAGGAACACCGGCGGCGAAGGCGGCCAACUGGACAGAUACUGACGCUGAGACACGAAAGCGUGGGGAGCAAACAGGAUUAGAUACCCUUGUAGUCC